rnacentral:rRNA from 1 species
UCCGUAGGUGAACCUGCGGAAGGAUCAUUAUUGAAUAAACUUGAUGGGUUGUUGCUGGCCUCUUGAGGCAUGUGCACACCUGUCUUGACUUUACUCAUCCACCUGUGCACUUGUUGUAGUCCUUUACUCUUUGGGUUCGAGAAAGCGGGCCUAUGUUCAGUUGAGAUAUGCUGGAUUUGAGGAUUGCUCCUGGCUGUYCUCUCCUGGUCCUGUGGAGUUGUGCCUUCUGGAGAACAGGGCUAUGUCCUUUUGUCAUAUACCAUGUAGUAUGUUGCCAGAAUGUAUUUGGUGGGCCCUUGUGCCUAUAGAAACUUURUACAACUUUCAGCAACGGAUCUCUUGGCUCUCGCAUCGAUGAAGAACGCAGCGAAAUGCGAUAAGUAAUGUGAAUUGCAGAAUUCAGUGAAUCAUCGAAUCUUUGAACGCACCUUGCGCUCCUUGGUAUUCCGAGGAGCAUGCCUGUUUGAGUGUCAGAAAAUUCUCAACCCCUCUAGUUCUUUUAUGCUGCUGGCUGGGGCUUGGAUGUGGAGGUGUUGCAGGCCUUUGUGAUAGGUCAGCUCCUCUGAAAUACAUUAGUGGAACGGUUUGUGAUCUGCUGCAGGUGUGAUAAUUAAUCUAUGCCGAGUGGGUGACUCUCUGCUGUGUUCUGCUGCCAACUGUCUGUGAAGACAACUAGUUACUGAAUAUUGACCUCAAAUCAGGUAGGAUUACCCGCUGAACUUAAGCAUAUC